ACUCCUACGGGAGGCAGCAGUGGGGGGAUCUUGGACAAUGGGAACCGUAGCUCAGCGAUGCGCGUGUGUGAAGAAGGCCUGCGGGUUGUAAAGCACUUUAGUUAGGGAGGAAGUUUAGUUGAUUAAGAGUCGAUUAAAUUGACGUUACCUAAGAAUAAGCACCGGCUAACUCUGUGCCAGCAGCCGCGGUAAUACGGAGGGUGCGAGCGUUAAUCGGAAUUACUGGGCGUAAAGCGCAUGCAGGCGGCCUGUUAAGUCAGAUGUG
rnacentral:rRNA from 1 species